GACGAACGCUGGCGGCGUGCCUAAUACAUGCAAGUCAACUGGAGUUAAUGCAGCAAUGUGUUAACAACGGUGGCGCACGGGUGAGUAACACGUAGGCAAUCUGCCUUCAGGUCUGACAUAACCCCGCGAAAGCGGGGCUAAUAUCAGAUGAUGCAGCGGGUCCGCAUGGACACAGUUGUUAAACCUUCGGGGCCUGAAGAUGAGUCUGCGUCUGAUUAGCUAGUUGGCGGGGUAACGGCCCACCAAGGCUUCGAUCAGUAGCUGGUCUGAGAGGAUGAUCAGCCACACUGGAACUGAGACACGGUCCAGACUCCUACGGGAGGCAGCAGUAAGGAAUAUUGCUCAAUGGCCGAAAGGCUGAAGCAGCAACGCCGCGUGAAGGAUGAAGACCUUAUGGUUGUAAACUUCUGUAGAGAGAGAGAAACCUCUGCCUCUGGCAGAACUG
rnacentral:rRNA from 1 species